rnacentral:tRNA from 1 species
AAAUAUGAAGCGAUUUAUUGCAAUCAGUUUCGACCUGAUUUUAGGUUAAUUACCCUUAUUUU